rnacentral:lncRNA from 1 species
GAGGGCUGUGCUACUGACCUCUAAAGACGUCCUCAGCUGGACACCGAUAUAGAUUCAGUAAAGGCCAUCUACGCUGACACAGCUGUCUCUGUCAGCUACAACCGGUAACAUAGAAGACUAGCCUUGCUGAACUUACUGACAUAGACAGCAGAAUUUGGUUUUAGUUAACCGGGUACAAUGGGAAGGCAUCUCAAUUAAAUGCUUGUUAUCAAUAAAUGACUCGUGACUUUCUUUCUUUCUUUCUUUCUUUCUUUCUUUCUUUCUUUCUUUCUUUCUGUCUUCUUCUUCCUCCUCACCAAGAGAAUAUAGGUCCAUUGACGACGUGGACGUUGAAAUGCAAAUCAAUGUCAUCUUCUUAGAUGUAAAUUGACUAUAGUCCCAGUCGGUUUGAAAUAGAACUUAUAGCCCGGCCGCUUUGGGGGAAAACAACCCAUGGUCAAUAAGGGAUAUAAGACGAUCUGCUGCCCAUGAAAUAAGUUAUGACACUUUUACAAAGACAAUAUGGACAGAUAUACAUUCUAUGGAUAUAUCACAAAUGACACCCUAUUUAAAAUAAAUUCUAGAACCCACUUUUUAAAUAAAAAUAAAAUAAAAAACAACAUUCCACAUCUGAGGAGAGGAGUCGCUCUGAAGCGUUAUGUUUUUUUGUUUGUUUUUUUGAUUGUGCAUUUUUAUAAAUCCCAUGUUUGAGAAACAUACCACAUCACGAACCACAAUAUUUUUGCUCUGCUUCAGUGACAUAUUUUCAGGGUUGUGCGUUCUGUGUAAUGUGAUUUUUUUGCUCUGCAUUUUUUUUUUUGCCCUUCACCUAUCCUCAACUACCUACCUACCUAGUAUGGCCAGGACCUAUCCUCAACUACCUACCUACCUAGUAUGGCCAGGACCUAUCAACUAUCCUCAACUACCUACCUACCUAGUAUGGCCAGGACCUAUCAACUAUCCUCAACUACCUACCUACCUAGUAUGGCCAGGACCUAUCCUCAACUACCUACCUAACUUUUAUGGCCAGGACCUAUCCUCAACUACCUACCUAACUUUUAUGGCCAGGACCUAUCCUCACCUAUCCUCAACUACCUAGUAUGGCCAGGACCUAUCCUCACCUAUCCUCCUAGUAUGGCCAGAACCUAUCCUCCAACUACCUACCUAGUAUGGCCAGGACCUAUCCUCAACUAUCCUCAACUACCUACCUAGUAUGGCCAGGACCUAUCCUCAACUACCCUACCUAGUAUGGCCAGGACUAUCCUCAACUAUUCUCAACUACCUACCUAGUAUGGCCAGGACCUAUCCUCAACUACCUACCUAGUAUGGCCAGGACCUAUCCUCAACUACCUACCUAGUAUGGCCAGGACCUAUCCUCAACUAUCUAACUAGUAUGGCCAGGACCUAUCCUCAACUACCUACCUAGUAUGGCCAGGACCUAUCCUCAC